UGUUAUUAAGAUAAAUAGAUAUAGGAAGAUGUGGUAUAGGUGCCAAUGAGACAAUUCUCCAUCCAAGUAACAAUUUAUAAAAGUAAACCUUCAUUUGGCAUGCAUUUGCCAUACUGAAUUAUAAGUCUGGUUUCUUCAAUUAUUUCUUUCCACAUCAAGAGUAAAACUGUUACGGAGGGUAGUUGGCUGUAUAAAUGUAUAAACACAAAGCCAUCUUAAUUUGGACUAAGAAUUUUAAUCGAAUCUCUCUGACAGAAUAAAUACCAUCCUCUCUGCAUGUCAAAUGUCUGUAGGUGACCUAUUGCCAGGCAAAAUUUCAAUGUUCUCCUUUUGUCAGUGAAAUUGGAUUGUUAUGUUUUUGCCCUAAAUAUCCCCAUCUUUUGAUCUCUGGUGGAGAGUUGUCUCAAUCGCAAAUUUUUUGGGGAAAAUUUUGCAUUGUUGUGGAAAUUUCAACUUCAUAUAGUCGAAGAUAGUAAAUAUAAACAAUGAAUCAAUUGACAAACGGUUUAUUUAUCUUUAACAAAUGAAGAAAUAAUCAUUAACAAUUAUUGUGAAAUAAAUAUAUGUGAAUAACCACAUGCCAUAGAAAUCAAACAAGCAGACUGGCAAUGAUUAUUACUUUAUUAAUUGGACCGAUGCGACUGAUGCUUCAAGCAAUGACUAGUACUUUAUUAGUUUAACCUGAUCAGCUGAGGCCUAAGCAGCUAUGUAAUGGACGUUUGCUGUAUUACUGAAGCAUGCAAACCUAUGAGUGUGAAAAGUAUAAUUAUCAACGGACUAAAUUCCAGUGGAAAAGGUCUUUCGAAUAUUUAAUCACACUUAAUAAAUCAUAUUUCACUUAUAACUAUAAUUAAAUGCUGAAAAUUAAAAAGCCAUUUUUUGAAGACCUUGGCUGAUCAAGAAAAGUAAUAAAAUACCAUCAAAUAAAGCUGUCACGCAGUAAUUAAUGUGUUACGAUAAUAUACCAUUUUAAAGCUUUGCUUGCUAAAAGUCAGAAUUAAAACACCUGACUUGGAUUCAAUACUAAAAAAUGUACAAUGUAUCUGACAAAAAUAUUGACAAUUUUUGUUUUUCUCCAGCAAAGCGUAAAAUAUAAAUGUUUUACCAUGUGUUGACUUUUUAAAAUGAAGGUCAUCUCUCUUUUUCACUAGCCUUAAAGAAUAUUUAAAAGUUUUGACGUAAAACUUUGAAUGGGUAAUUGGCUACAAAAACCAUUUCAAAAGGAACAUGAUUUUACUUUUUUUCAAUUAAAAAACUUUUAAAAAAUCUGAAGUAACUGAAAUCUAUGAGACAGGGGUUUGAACAUUGCCAGAUAUAGGAAAACCCUUUAUUCAAAUCAUAUUGAACACCAGCUGUGUAAAAUUUCUUUUGCCUACUUUAUAUAAAUAAUUUUGGUCUCUAGUACUAAGUAUUUUUUUUCUUCAAUACCAGACAACUUUGAGAGUAUUAAGGUAAAAAAAGGACAUAUCUCACAGUAAUAACAGUACAGUAAAAUAGCAUCAAUUCACCGUUUCAGAAUCUAAUGAUUCUCUGGGUAAUAUUUUCAAAAGUGUACACCAAAACGUCCUGAUUAGUUAAAAAUGCCAUAAACAAUGGAAAUGUAACCAAUGACGUGACGUUAUUUUCAUUUUGGGGUACGAACAAUGAAAUUUCCCAUGAGUCUUUAUAAGAUUCUGAAACGGCCAAUUUGCCAUCAAAUAUGGAACCCGGAAACCAUUCACAAAAAAAUCUUACAAAAAGUUCUAUAACAAUACUGUUGUCAUAAUUCCAUCAUUACACAUUACACAUUUACAAGCUUCAUGCAGACAGAAAAAACGCUAUGCAUACAUAUGUACAUAUUACAGUGAAUUCAUUAUUAGUGAAUUCUACAGUGAAUUCAUAUUACAGUGAAUUCAUUAUUAGUGAAUUCAUAUUACAGUGAAUUCAUUAUUAUUUGUUGGAUACAAAUUUUCAUGGAAUUUUAAGCUUUGAAGUAAAAACUUGAAUGGAUAAUUGGCUAUUUUCAUGGAAUAUUAAGCUUUUCAUGGAAUUUGUGGGUACAGAUCUUCUAGAGAAACCAUGAACUAAAAUGUUCAUCAAAAUACAUGUGUUUUAAAACUAAGGAUAUAAUAUAGUAUUCAUAUCUUAUGGCCAAACCAAUUAAUCGAAUAUCGAUCAACAUAGAUGCAAUAUUUCCUCAAUUCGUGAAAAUUGGUACCCACAAAAAUAAUUGAAUCCAUAUUAUCUGAUAAAACAAUACAAAACUCAUCACUCAAAACAGCUUAUAUCACAAUUAAGCUACAUUGCAUAAUAUACAUGGAUUCUUUCAUCAAACUCAUGAUUUAUAUAAAUAACACCAAAACAUGUUUGUGACACAUACAGAAAAACACAAGAUGUAUUUAAUUAACACCUCAAAAUUAUCACUUGCAAGGGACAAAUCUAUGACUAUAAAUAUUCAAAUACCAAAUAAAAUUCUUUUUUUUUAUUGAGUUAAUGGCAGAAUUUUUAAUCAAAGUUAAAAUUAAUUGAAUUCAUCAGUCAUAUAUACUUUUUUUUAAACAAAGCUGAAAACAUGAACUUAACUUCAAGGUACACUCAAAAAUAAAGUUCUGAAUCCACUUACAGCACCCAGAAAUCAUCAACUUUGAAAAAGAUCAAAUAACUAUAAAAUAUAGUUUUUCCCUUAUGACUUGUAUUACUAAAGUAAGUGUUAGUACAGCAAUUUCAAACAACCAUUUUUAUCGUAACAUUUUAAUUUGUUGUUAACUUUUACUUCAUAAAAAAGGCUCUUAUAGGAAUAUCAGUCAUUUUAUAGUGUAAUGGCAUUUUCCACCCUAAACUGCAUGUUUGUAUAUUGAGAAAAAUACUGUGUAUAAUUUGUGAUUUCUGCAGACAAUAUUUGAAGCCUAACACAGAAUGGAUCACUAUUGCCAUUUAUACAACAGAUCAGAGAGGAAUACAGUGAUUUUUUUUCUCUCACAUUUAUCAAUAAUUUCUGUAACUAUUCUUAGUCAAAAAUAAUACAAUGUGUGUUGGGAAGUUUUCUCAAAGAACAAUGCCUAAAUUGAUAUUUUGUAAACAUACAAUCAAUAAAUAUUAUGGGAUGUAAUUAGGACAGUUCUAUAAAAUCAUACAAGGACCUAGGGAAGGUACCUCAAAAUAUCAUCUAUAUGUGGGUAUUCAGUCGUGUUAGCAUGAAGUCCAAUGCCCAAGAGUCAAGAUUAGUAAAAGUUUAUUUUACUAGUAAGUUUUUGUAAAAUUUUGUUUAGACACAUAAGAAAAUGUUGAAAUAUUGGUCUUCGAACUAGUAAUUUGAAAAGAUCUUUGUGCAGACUGAAAGUGUUAUUGAUUUCUAUAGAUGGUUACACCAUUUUCAAAAAGCCUUCCAUGAGUAUCAUGUAUACUUUUUUGACAAAUUGACUAAUGCCAUUAAUAUACCAGUUAAUAUUCUAUGUUAUUGCUUUGAGAAUUUUAUUUCAUUCUGGCAAAUGAACUAAUUUCUAGUUCAAGCUGCUAUUAUUAUCAAAAGCUUACAUGAAGAAAAUACAAUACAUAAGUAAACCAAUACACAACAAUUCUUUCGUAUUUUCUUUGAAUGUUCAAUCAAGUGUAACAUGUUUUUUUUUGUUAAAUUCCUGUCACAUUUCUUCUUAUUCAUAAUUCGUAUUCUUCUUAUAAUAAUACUGCUCCGUUAAAAUCUUUCAUUCAAAAAAUGAUUUUUUAUUUGUCAUUUUCUGCCAAAUUACACUUUAAUAUAAAGCAAAGUUUGCAAAAAAUUAAAAAUCUACAUAUAGCUACAAAAUAAUAGAUUUAAUACAUAUCAUCUAAACCCUUUUGCUGAAAAAUUAAUAUUAUAUUGAUAUAAAUGUUUCCCCUAUAAUGAACUUGCUAACAGCUAGGCAAAAAACUCUGACAAAAAUUAGUUUUGAUUUUGUUUUUGCCCUAUACAAGAAAUCAAUUUAAAAAAUCAAAAUCUUUCUUUCAACUUUUAAGCAAGAAACAAGAUAUUUCCUUUCCUAAGAUGAACACGUAUUCAGAACAAUUGUGCAUUUCUACAAAAAUUUGAAAAUAGGUGGAACAUCAAAAUAACCUAUGGAAUAAUAGAAAAUCAGGAUACCAGAAUGAUAGAAAAUAGGUGUGCACCAGUGGCGGAUCCAGAAAGUGGGGGCCUCUUGACGACCUAAGAGGGGACCCGCUCUGGUCAUGCUUCAGUGAUUCCCUAUAUAGGCAACCAAAUUUUUCCCCGAAAAGGGGCCCCCCUUAAUCUGCCUCUGUGCACUCAAGCUGUAAUAUAUCCUAGUGAAGCAAGUUGUAUCAAAACAAACCAGAGGAAAGUGCUUAUAAAUAACAGGUCAGAUGGAUGAGCCAAUGAGACAGCAAUCAUUCAACAAACAGAUUAAAUAAAUGACAUCAAAUUAUAAACAAACUUCGUUCAACAACAGACAUGUGUCCUUGCAAUAUAUGAAGCUUUACAUCACACUGAAUCUAUAACUUUGCCAAUAAAUCAUGUACAUAUCUUAGUAUGGAAAAUCCAGACUCCCUUCAAGAAAUUCUACUUUUUCAAAUUUAUACAUCUCUAAAAGAAUCUCACUGACCUAUUUACAUUUUUCUAAACUUGUAAUGUAUAGCCACAUAUUUAUUUAAAAAGAUUUUAUUUAUGAAAAUGUUCAAAUCAAAUUUCAGCAGCCAAUAUCCUUCAAACCUAAUGUUAAUACAAAUAUGUUUUGGGGAGAUUCAAAGGAAUCUCCUUUGUUGUAAUACUAAAUAUCUUCGAAAAUUUAAAGGCAGUUAUUUUAUUGCUUUCACCUAGAGAAAGUAGGAUUGAGUGUUGCCAAAAAUAUUUAGGAGUGAAGCUUGGAACAGGAUUUGUAUCUUAAUCAUAUUUUUAUAUAUAUGAAAUAUCUAUAAAAUAAAGAGUUCAAAGAUGAACUAUGAUUAGGAGCGGAACACAGGAAAUGAAAUGUUAUCCAUUAAAUACAAACUCAAAUAAUUUAAUUUUGGAUGUAACGCGUCUUCUGAUUGGCUGACGUUAUUUUGUUAUGAGCCCAUAGACAUAAUUUAGUCAUGUGACCGUGACGGCAUCAAAGUUUUUUUUAUGGUUUUCUACCGUUUAAAAUGGAAUUUAGAAUUAAAUUAUAAGAAAUUACUGUAAUAUUUUUUCUAUCUAUUGGAAAUAACAUAAAAAAUGUGGUGCACACUGUUAAAUAACCCACUACGCGCGUCAUUCAGUGUGCACCAAAUUUUUUAUGUUAUUUCUUCAUAGACAGAAAAAAUAUUACAGUCAUUCCUUAAAUAUGUUAACUGUAAAACUAACUACUAGCUAAUAAAGAUUUAUGUUGAAACUUGGCAAGAAAAUGUUUCUUUGAAUAAAAAUAUCAAAUUUUAAUUCAAACAGUCAAAUAACCGAGUCUUUGAAAGAAUCAAAAUGCUCUACAAAGGUGGACUAGUUCUCAUUCAGAAAAUAUGGCACUAUCUAAAAAUCCCAGUGUACUUCACAGAUAAAUUGUACAAAAUGCACAAAGGAAUUUGUUACUUGGAGUAGAAGCUACUAAGUUGCAAAAAUAUUUGUCUAAUCCUUUUGUCAGAUUAAACAAUAACAUAACCUUAAAUAAAACUUAAGAGCAUUUAAGAAGAGAAAGCUUACGAAAAUGUCUUUAAUUUAAGAAAAUCUGAAAAAUUCUAAUAAUUUGAAAACGGGUAAUACUAAGACAGACAACCAUUACAGCAAAGAACCCUGUAACAUAAAAAAAUGAACAAACAACAGGUAUCCUGACUAUCACUGUGUAAUUUUCACAGAACACUAGUUUAUUCUAUAUAUUUAUGAGCAAUGUUUGAUGUUAGAAAAUACAUAAACCCACAUCGAACCUUUUCCAUCAAGUCAAUGUGUAAUUAGAAGCAUUCAUGAAUAAACAAAUUAGCACUAUGGUCUUUAAAAAUUGGUUUCUGAGGUCGUAUGAAGAGAAAAAUAAUUUUAGUUCUUUGUUUUUUUUUAAACCAAAAGUGUGUGUCUGAAAUAAAACAAUAUUUUUUUUUCACUCUAUAGAAGAACCAUUAUUAAAUUCUCAAUAAGUUACAUGAUUUAUAAUUUAACAAGAAAAGUUACAAUUUGACAGUGAAAUCUCAAGUGCAUGCCUUCCUUCCUACUUUAUUAAGAUAAUAAAACAACCUUGUAAGGCCAACAUUAAAAAUAUCUUUGUUUCCCCUCCCCGACUGAGGUUGUUAGGGUAUGGGUAGGUAGGUAGGCAAAUUAUUUUAUUUUAUUCCUUGAUAUGGUUUUCUACAUUGAAUUUGUACAAAAUUCAACAGGUAAGGCUCAAGUCAAGAAAAGUGGGGUAUUCCCUAUAUUCUAAUUCAGUGUACGCCACAGUUUUCUGGUGUUAAAAAAAACAGUAUACAGGGACCUCCUUUUUUCCUAUUCAUGUAUGUAAUGAAAUCUCUACAAAAGCGCACAUUCUACUUGUGAUAACAAUGCUUAAUGAUAGCAGUGUUUUUUUAGUUAAAAAAUUAAGCUUAUUUCAAGUCUAAUUUGAUGCAUAACUCACAAACAAACAAUUCCUUUG
rnacentral:lncRNA from 1 species